rnacentral:rRNA from 1 species
UACGGGGGGGGCAAGCGUUGUUCGGAAUUACUGGGCGUAAAGGGCUCGUAGGCGGCCAACUAAGUCAGACGUGAAAUCCCUCGGCUUAACCGGGGAACUGCGUCUGAUACUGGAUGGCUUGAGGUUGGGAGAGGGAUGCGGAAUUCCAGGUGUAGCGGUGAAAUGCGUAGAUAUCUGGAGGAACACCGGUGGCGAAGGCGGCAUCCUGGACCAAUUCUGACGCUCAUGCACGAAAGCGUGGGGAGCAAACAGG